rnacentral:tRNA from 1 species
GCCCGGGUGGCGGAAUUGGUAGACGCACAGGACUUAAAAUCCUGUGGGAGCCUGCUCCCGUGCCGGUUCGAUUCCGGCCCCGGGCACCA